rnacentral:rRNA from 1 species
AGAGUUUGAUCAUGGCUCAGAUUGAACGCUGGCGGCAGGCCUAACACAUGCAAGUCGAACGGUAACAGGAAGCAGCUUGCUGCUUCGCUGACGAGUGGCGGACGGGUGAGUAAUGUCUGGGAAACUGCCUGAUGGAGGGGGAUAACUACUGGAAACGGUGGCUAAUACCGCAUAACGUCGCAAGACCAAAGAGGGGGACCUUCGGGCCUCUUGCCAUCAGAUGUGCCCAGAUGGGAUUAGCUAGUUGGUGAGGUAACGGCUCACCAAGGCGACGAUCCCUAGCUGGUCUGAGAGGAUGACCAGCCACACUGGAACUGAGACACGGUCCAGACUCCUACGGGAGGCAGCAGUGGGGAAUAUUGCACAAUGGGCGCAAGCCUGAUGCAGCCAUGCCGCGUGUAUGAAGAAGGCCUUCGGGUUGUAAAGUACUUUCAGCGGGGAGGAAGGUGUUGUGGUUAAUAACCGCAGCAAUUGACGUUACCCGCAGAAGAAGCACCGGCUAACUCCGUGCCAGCAGCCGCGGUAAUACGGAGGGUGCAAGCGUUAAUCGGAAUUACUGGGCGUAAAGCGCACGCAGGCGGUCUGUCAAGUCGGAUGUGAAAUCCCCGGGCUCAACCUGGGAACUGCAUUCGAAACUGGCAGGCUUGAGUCUUGUAGAGGGGGGUAGAAUUCCAGGUGUAGCGGUGAAAUGCGUAGAGAUCUGGAGGAAUACCGGUGGCGAAGGCGGCCCCCUGGACAAAGACUGACGCUCAGGUGCGAAAGCGUGGGGAGCAAACAGGAUUAGAUACCCUGGUAGUCCACGCCGUAAACGAUGUCUACUUGGAGGUUGUGCCCUUGAGGCGUGGCUUCCGGAGCUAACGCGUUAAGUAGACCGCCUGGGGAGUACGGCCGCAAGGUUAAAACUCAAAUGAAUUGACGGGGGCCCGCACAAGCGGUGGAGCAUGUGGUUUAAUUCGAUGCAACGCGAAGAACCUUACCUGGUCUUGACAUCCACAGAACUAUCCAGAGAUGGACUUGUGCCUUCGGGAACUGUGAGACAGGUGCUGCAUGGCUGUCGUCAGCUCGUGUUGUGAAAUGUUGGGUUAAGUCCCGCAACGAGCGCAACCCUUAUCCUUUGUUGCCAGCGGUCCGGCCGGGAACUCAAAGGAGACUGCCAGUGAUAAACUGGAGGAAGGUGGGGAUGACGUCAAGUCAUCAUGGCCCUUACGACCAGGGCUACACACGUGCUACAAUGGCGCAUACAAAGAGAAGCGACCUCGCGAGAGCAAGCGGACCUCAUAAAGUGCGUCGUAGUCCGGAUUGGAGUCUGCAACUCGACUCCAUGAAGUCGGAAUCGCUAGUAAUCGUGGAUCAGAAUGCCACGGUGAAUACGUUCCCGGGCCUUGUACACACCGCCCGUCACACCAUGGGAGUGGGUUGCAAAAGAAGUAGGUAGCUUAACCUUCGGGAGGGCGCUUACCACUUUGUGAUUCAUGACUGGGGUGAAGUCGUAACAAGGUAACCGUAGGGGAACCUGCGGUUG